rnacentral:tRNA from 1 species
GCGAGAGUGGCGAAACUGGUAGACGCGCUGGAUUUAGGUUCCAGUCUCGAAAGAGGUGGGGGUUCAAGUCCCUUCUCUCGCA